GCCCGGCUAGCUCAAUCGGUAGAGCGUGAGACUCUUAUGUUUCCCGUUCUCUCAGAACGAUUGUGGUACAUCUCAAGGUUGUGGGUUCGACCCCCACGUCGGGCU